rnacentral:rRNA from 1 species
GACGAACGCUGGCGGCGUGCCUAAUACAUGCAAGUAGAACGCUGAAGAGAGGAGCUUACUCUUCUUGGAUGAGUUGCGAACGGGUGAGUAACGCGUAGGUAACCUGCCUUGUAGCGGGGGAUAACUAUUGGAAACGAUAGCUAAUACCGCAUAACAAUGGAUGACACAUGUCAUUUAUUUGAAAGGGGCAAUUGCUCCACUACAAGAUGGACCUGCGUUGUAUUAGCUAGUAGGUGAGGUAAUGGCUCACCUAGGCGACGAUACAUAGCCGACCUGAGAGGGUGAUAGGCCACACUGGGACUGAGACACGGCCCAGACUCCUACGGGAGGCAGCAGUAGGGAAUCUUCGGCAAUGGGGGCAACCCUGGCCGAGCAACGCCGCGUGAGUGAAGAAGGUUGUCGGAUCGUAAAGCUCUGUUGUAAGUCAAGAACGGGUGUGAGAGUGGAAAGUUCACAAUGUGACGGUAGCUUACCAGAAAGGGACGGCUAACUACGUG